rnacentral:rRNA from 1 species
CAGCCGCCGCGGGAACACGAAGGGUGCAAGCGUUACUCGGAAUUACUGGGCGUAAAGCGUGCGUAGGUGGUGGUUUAAGUCCGUUGUGAAAGCCCUGGGCUCAACCUGGGAAUUGCAGUGGAUACUGGGUCACUAGAGUGUGGUAGAGGAUAGUGGAAUUUCCGGUGUAGCAGUGAAAUGCGUAGAGAUCGGAAGGAACAUCUGUGGCGAAGGCGACUAUCUGGGCCAACACUGACACUGAGGCACGAAAGCUUGGGGAGCAAACAGGAUUAGAUACCCCGGUAGUCCCUGUCUCUUAUAC